rnacentral:rRNA from 1 species
AGUGAACGCUGGCGGUAGGCCUAACACAUGCCAGUCGAACGGCAGCACAGUAAGAGCUUGCUCUUACGGGUGGCGAGUGGCGGACGGGUGAGGAAUACAUCGGAAUCUACUUUUUCGUGGGGGAUAACGUAGGGAAACUUACGCUAAUACCGCAUACGACCUACGGGUGAAAGCAGGGGAUCUUCGGACCUUGCGCGAUUGAAUGGGCCGAUGUCGGAUUAGCUAGUUGGCGGGGUAACGGCCCACCAAGGCGACGAUCCGUAGGUGGUCUGAGUGGAUGGACAGCGAGAGUGGAACGGAGACGCGGUCAAAACCUGGACGGGCGGAAGCGGUGAGGAAUAUUAGGCAAUGGGCGAGAGCCUGAACCAGCCAAGUAGAGUGGAGGAAGACGGCCCUACGGGUUGUAAACUGCUUUUAUGCGGGGAGAAAGUGAGGGACGUGUCCCUCAUUGCAGGUAACGAAUGAGUAAGGACCGGCUAAUUCCGUG